UUGAACGCUGGCGGCAGGCCUAACACAUGCAAGUCGAGCGGUAGCACAGAGAGCUUGCUCUCGGGUGACGAGCGGCGGACGGGUGAGUAAUGUCUGGGAAACUGCCUGAUGGAGGGGGAUAACUACUGGAAACGGUAGCUAAUACCGCAUAAUGUCGCAAGACCAAAGUGGGGGACCUUCGGGCCUCAUGCCAUCAGAUGUGCCCAGAUGGGAUUAGCUAGUAGGUGGGGUAACGGCUCACCUAGGCGACGAUCCCUAGCUGGUCUGAGAGGAUGACCAGCCACACUGGAACUGAGACACGGUCCAGACUCCUACGGGAGGCAGCAGUGGGGAAUAUUGCACAAUGGGCGCAAGCCUGAUGCAGCCAUGCCGCGUGUGUGAAGAAGGCCUUCGGGUUGUAAAGCACUUUCAGCGGGGAGGAAGGCGGUGAGGUUAGUAACCUCAUCGAUUGACGUUACCCGCAGAAGAAGCACCGGCUAACUCCGUGCCAGCAGCCGCGGUAAUACGGAGGGUGCAAGCGUUAAUCGGAAUUACUGGGCGUAAAGCGCACGCAGGCGGUCUGUCAAGUCGGAUGUGAAAUCCCCGGGCUCAACCUGGGAACUGCAUUCGAAACUGGCAGGCUAGAGUCUUGUAGAGGGGGGUAGAAUUCCAGGUGUAGCGGUGAAAUGCGUAGAGAUCUGGAGGAAUACCGGUGGCGAAGGCGGCCCCCUGGACAAAGACUGACACUCAGGUGCGAAAGCGUGGGGAGCAAACAGGAUUAGAUACCCUGGUAGUCCACGCCGUAAACGAUGUCGAUUUGGAGGUUGUGCCCUUGAGGCGUGGCUUCCGGAGCUAACGCGUUAAAUCGACCGCCUGGGGAGUACGGCCGCAAGGUUAAAACUCAAAUGAAUUGACGGGGGCCCGCACAAGCGGUGGAGCAUGUGGUUUAAUUCGAUGCAACGCGAAGAACCUUACCUGGUCUUGACAUCCACAGAACUUUCCAGAGAUGGAUUGGUGCCUUCGGGAACUGUGAGACAGGUGCUGCAUGGCUGUCGUCAGCUCGUGUUGUGAAAUGUUGGGUUAAGUCCCGCAACGAGCGCAACCCUUAUCCUUUGUUGCCAGCGGUUAGGCCGGGAACUCAAAGGAGACUGCCAGUGAUAAACUGGAGGAAGGUGGGGAUGACGUCAAGUCAUCAUGGCCCUUACGACCAGGGCUACACACGUGCUACAAUGGCAUAUACAAAGAGAAGCGACCUCGCGAGAGCAAGCGGACCUCAUAAAGUAUGUCGUAGUCCGGAUUGGAGUCUGCAACUCGACUCCAUGAAGUCGGAAUCGCUAGUAAUCGUAGAUCAGAAUGCUACGGUGAAUACGUUCCCGGGCCUUGUACACACCGCCCGUCACACCAUGGGAGUGGGUUGCAAAAGAAGUAGGUAGCUUAACCUUCGGGAGGGCGCUUACCACUUUGUGAUUCAUGACUGGGGUG
rnacentral:rRNA from 1 species